CAAAAUUCUCCAGAACACAGGGAAGCCCAGGCUCCCCACCCAACCUCAUUGACUGCUGGACUUUAAGCCAAUCAAAAGCCUCCAGAGAACAGGGAAGCUCAAACCCCCAACAACUCUCCCCCAGAGACUACACCAAGAGAUCUUCUGUUAAAGCUCCAAGACGCAACACUGAUAGAAGUGCCGAAAAAAAAACAAAAAAAAAUGAGAGGAACAAGAGCACAGAUAAAUACGGGGAGUAAAGAAGGGGUGAAUUUGAGCAAACAACAGGAAAAGAAGAAAGAAACUACAAUAGACAGCUGCUACUCAGCAAAUGGAACAGAGGGGGAGAGAUCAGCAAACGAUAAAACAGAAAUCCCAGCAAAUUGGAUACAAGCUGUGGAAGAACUCAAAACACAACUAAGAGAGGCUGAAGACAAUUGGGAAAAGAACUUAAAAAUUAAGAUAAGUCACCUGAAAACAGAGGCACUUGAACUAAAACAAGAAAAUAGUGUAUUGAAAGCCAAAAUCAACCAGCUGGAAAAUGAGGCAAAGGAGAUGAAAGAUGAGGUAAAGAGGAUGAAAGACGAUCUUCAAAGAAAAUCAGACCAGAAUGAAAAGGAUAACCAAAAAGCCAGAGAGGAAAUCCAAUCUUUAAGAACCAGAAUACAACAAAUGGAAUUAAGUGACCUCACAAGGCAGCAGGACACUACAAAACAAAACAAAAAGAAUGAAAAAAUUGAGGAAAAUGUGAAGCAUCUCAUUCAAAAACAGAUGAUUUAGAAAAUCAUUCAAGAAGAGAUAAUUUAAAAAUAAUUGGACUACCAGAAUACCAGGACAAAAAAAAAAAGCCUGGAAAGAAUACUAGAGGAAAUUAUCCAGGAAAACUGUCCUGAGAUCCUAAAACAAGAGGGGAAAGUGGAGAUUGAAAGAAUCCAUAGAUCACCCCCUGUAUUUAAUCCCCAACUGACAACCACAAGAAAUGUUAUAGCCAAAUUCAAAAACAAUCAGAUGAAAGAAAAGAUAUUACAAGCUGCCAAGAAAAAGCCAUUCAGAUACCAUGGAAACACGGUGAGGUUAACACAGGAUCUGGCUGCAUCCACACAGAAGGACCAAAAGGCAUGGAAUACGAUAUUCUGGAAAGCAAAGGAACUAUAUCUACAACCAAGAAUGAAAUACCCAUCAAAACUGACUAUAUUCUUACCUGGUAAAGUAGGGUCAUUCAACACAAUAGAAGAGUUCCAAGCACUCAUAAAUAAAAGACCAGACCUGAACAGAAAAUUUGAUGUCCAACCAUAGAACUCAAGACAAUCAUCAAAAGGGGAGAAGUGAAAUCCUCCAGGAUCUCAAUGCGUUGGCUCCACAUCAUGGUGCCUGCCAGGUACUGACAUGUCAGACAACAGUUCUUAUCUACCAACAGCUGUAGGAAGUGGGAGGAAGUGUGGAAAAGUGGCUUUGGAGUAAAAAUAUUCAGAAGAUCUGGGCCUCAGCAUGACUAAAUUAUACUAAUCACUUACCCCAUCUGAGUCUUUUUUCUUGAUCUAUAAAAUGGGAAGGAACUAAGUUAAAAAAAAAAGUAAAGGAGAGGAGAGAUGGGACCUUUAUAUCCCAUUUCCCAUUGUGAAUGGGACAAGAGGAGAAGGAGCAAAAACAGGAGCAGGAAUAGGAGCAGCAGGAGAAGGAGGACAACAAGAACAAGAACUGUAAGUCUGUAUUGUGUUAUUCAAUGGAGAAAAAGAGAGCUCCUAGGUAGAAGAAACAGAUGGUGGAAAUGGAAAGAAAAAAUAGGGCCUAGCAUAGAAGAUGGGUCCUACCAAAAAGGCCCUUACAAAUACAGUGUCAGAUAUGAAAUGGUGAGAAUCUGUUCUUAUGAGUAUAAACUCAAAAAAGGAUAUUUUCAUUCAUGGUAGUCUGUUUUCUAUAGGAUUAUUAAAACUAGGUCUCAGGUCAAUUACUGACUGUAGAAUUCUGUCUGACUUUUUGUACAGUUCUAGGAUGGGAAGAUUUCUUAAUAUCUCUCUCUCUCUCUCUCUCUCUCUCUCUGUCUCUCAAACAAUUUUUUUUCACUACUAUACUUAAAGAUGGUCAACAGGAAACUAGUAAACUAUUACAAAAUGGAAAAACAUCAUACUUAAGCCUAAACAAAUUAAAUCAAAACCAGGCAGAAGGAUGUCUUUUAGAACAAAGCUAAGAAUAUGUUUAGCAGCAAGCUCAUUCUUUUUCGUGGGGAGAAAAUGUAUUGCGCUCAGAAUCAUCAUUUCUGAGAACUUCUCCCAUUCAGUUUGCUCCCCAAUGUGAUUAAAUCUCAUCAUUCAAAAAAUUUCUAGUCAUAAUGCUGUGAACAGUAAUGCAGAAUACACACACACACACACACACACACACACACACACACACACACUAUAUCUGAAGAAAAAAAAAAAUCCAGAUCAGGGAUCAUAGGAAAGUAACUCUAGAGAUGGACAGAGCCUCAGAAUUCAUUAAAUUCAGCACCUUCAUUAUAAAGAUAAGAAAAUAAAAAAGCCAGAAUUCAAAUGAAGAACCCUUCAAUUCCAAAUUCUGUGAUCAUUCCACUGUACCACACAUAAAACAGAACAAAAGCAGUUUAAAAUUACAAAGAUAUACUUCUAAAAAUGGCAUCAAGAGGCCAAGGAGAAAAAUGUAUUUAUUCCCACAACAUAUUUCAUUGUUAAUGAUGACCUAGAGUCAAAACAGUGAGAUAAAUAGAUGGGUUGACAUAUACACACAGGAAUAUCCACAAAUUUUUAAAACUGCAAAUAUGAAAAGUUAAGUACAAUCACUUAGAAAGAGCACUGCUUCUCUGGCUCCAUUUCUAAGUGAAAGUACACUCACCGAGUGCUAAUUACUCUAUAGUGAAAAACAUUAAGAAGUUUCAGCGUAAAUAUAAUCAACAUUUCUACAUCUGUAGAUGGACAAAUUCUUUUUAAGAUCCAUGAAAUGGGUCCUAUUAAACAGUAACAUUCAGAAUAGAAAAAAAUCUUCAUCUUAAACAUAUGCAAAUAUAUUUUAAGCAGAGUUCUGGUAUAAUGUUAAUAAGAAAAGUAGUUUGAGUAUCAGUAAAUCUACUAUAAAUAAGUAUGAUUUCAUAAAAUUCCCCAGGACUCAGUUUCCUAAUCUGUCCAAUGAGAAAAGAUUGGACUUGAUUUCUAAGUGUCUUUUCAAAUCUAAAAUUAUACUAUUUUAAAUAACUGGAUCUCAAAAUAAGGUGAUAAAAAUCCAUGUACAUUCAAAACAACAAAAUUAUUAUUUAAAAAUAAUUAGAAGAGAAUCAUUUGUAAGCUGGUCUGAUAUUCUAAAAUACUCUGCAUAUUUCUAGUAACCUAUAUUUCUUAGCAAAACACAGACUCUAUGAGCCAUAGGCAAAAUCAGAUCAUUCUCAUAUGAGGCUUUGUACAGAAAUUUGGUACA